CCUACGGGAGGCAGCAGUGGGGAAUAUUGCGCAAUGGGCGAAAGCCUGACGCAGCGACGCCGCGUGAGGGAUGAAGGUCUUCGGAUCGUAAACCUCUGUCAGCAGGGAAGAACGGUCACUGUGCUAAUCAGCAGUGAAUUGACGGUACCUGAAAAGGAAGCACCGGCUAACUCCGUGCCAGCAGCGGCGGUAAGACGGAGGGUGCGAGCGUUAAUCGGAUUUAUGGGGCGUAAGGGGCUCGUAGGCGGUAGGUCAAGUCAAGGGUGAAAGCCCCGCGCUCAAGGUGGGAACUGCCUUUGAAACUGGCAGACUGGAGUGCGGGAGAGGAUAGAGGAAUGUCAGGUGUAGGGGUGAAAUGCGUAGAUAUCAGGAAGAACACCAGUUGCGAAGGCGACUAACUGGCACGUAACUGACGCUGAGGAGCGAAAGCGUGGGUAGCAAACAGGAUUAGAUACCCGAGUAGUC
rnacentral:rRNA from 1 species